rnacentral:tRNA from 1 species
GGUGUAGUUCAGUGGUAGAGUACUUGCCUAGCAUGCAGGAGAACCUGGGUUCAAUUCCUAAGACCA